rnacentral:rRNA from 1 species
UAGGGAAUCUUCGGCAAUGGGGGGAACCCUGACCGCGCAACGCCGCGUGAGUGAAGAAGGUUUUCGGAUCGUAAAGCUCUGUUGUUAAGGAAGAACGAGUGUGAGAAUGGAAAGUUCAUGCUGUGACGGUACUUAACCAGAAAGGGACGGCUAACUACGUGCCAGCAGCCGUGGUAAUACGUAGGUCCCGUGCGUGGUCCGGAUUUGUUGGGCGUAAAGCGAGCGCAGGCGGUUAGAAAAGUCUGAAGUGAAAGGCAGUGGCUCAACCAUUGUAGGCUUUGGAAACUGUUGAACUUGGGUGCAGAAGGGGAGAGUGGAAUUCCGUGUGUAGCGGUGAGAUGCGUAGAUAUGUGGAAGAACACCGGUGGAGAAAGCGGCUCUCUGGUCUGUAACUGACGCUGGGGCUCGAAAGCGUGGGGAGCGAACAGG